UACGUAGGGGGCGAGCGUUGUCCGGAUUCAUUGGGCGUAAAGAGCUCGUAGGCGGCUUGGCAAGUCGGGUGUGAAACCUCCAGGCUCAACCUGGAGACGCCACCCGAGACUGCUAUGGCUAGAGUCCGGUAGGGGACCACGGAAUUCCUGGUGUAGCGGUGAAAUGCGCAGAUAUCAGGAGGAACACCGGUGGCGAAGGCGGGUCUCUGGGCCGUAACUGACGCUGAGGAGCGAAAGCGUGGGGAGUGAACAGG
rnacentral:rRNA from 1 species